GCGCGGAAGCGGCGUCCGGGCAGCCAUGUCGCCUUUGUCUGCGGCGCGGGCGGCCCUGCGGGUCUACGCGGUGGGCGCGGCGGUGAUCCUGGCGCAGCUGCUGCGGCGCUGCCGCGGGGGCUUCGCGGAACCAGUUUUGGCCCCACAACCCGACCGCGUUGCUGUAGUGACGGGAGGCACGGAUGGAAUCGGCUAUGCCACGGCGAGGCACCUGGCGAGACUCGGCAUGCGUGUGAUCAUAGCUGGAAAUAACACUGGCAAAGCCCAGGAAGCCGUGAGACAAAUACAAGAAGAGACUCUGAAUGACAAAGUGGAGUUUUUAUAUUGCGAUCUGGCGUCUCUGAAGUCCAUCCGGCAGUUUGUCCAGACGUUUAAGAAGAAGAAAAUCCCUCUCCACGUCCUGGUCAACAACGCUGGAGUAAUGAUGGUCCCUCAGCGGAGAACCAGGGAUGGAUUUGAGGAGCACUUUGGGCUGAACUACCUGGGCCACUUCCUGCUCACCAACCUCCUCCUGGACACCAUGAAGGAGUCCGGAUCUCCAGGCCGCUGUGCGAGGGUGCUGACUGUCUCGUCGGCCACGCAUUACAUCGCGGAGCUGGACAUGGAGGACCUUCAGGGCAGCCGCAGCUACUCCCCGCACGGCGCCUAUGCCCAAAGCAAGCUGGCCCUGGUCCUGUUCACCUACCACCUGCAGAGGCUGCUGGCCGCCCAGGGGAGCCCCGUGACCGCCAACGUGGUCGACCCCGGCGUGGUCAACACCGACCUCUACCGACACGUCUUCUGGGGCACGCGUCUCAUCAAGAAGCUCUUCAGCUGGUGGUUCUUCAAGACCCCAGAUGAAGGAGCCUGGACAUCCGUCUACGCGGCAGUCACCCCAGACCUGGAAGGAAUGGGCGGCCGCUACCUUUACAACGAGAAAGAGACCAAGUCUCUCGCGGUCACAUAUGACCUAGAUCUUCAAAGAGAACUGUGGGCCAGGAGUUGCCAGAUGACCGGCAUCACUGACGUGACCCCGGACACCUUCUCGGGGUAGCUGCCACGUCGGGGAAGACCUUGCCUUCAGUCCAGCAAACACAGUUUACGGGCACCAUCCUUGACUUCAGGGCUCACCCUUACUCAGCUACCAGUCAGGCAAGGAAGGCUCAGUCCUCUCUCUAAGGACGUUUACAGACUCCAACAUGGACAGACUAGCCACUUGAAAAUGCAGCAGAAAGGACACCACUGCCUGCGUGAUGCUGGACUGCACUCUGAACUUCCAGAACAGUGACUACUGGUCAUCCGACCAUCUAUUCCUUCAGUUAACAGAAUCUCACCAAACACCCAAAUCUGAUGUCAACUCUGGGCACAUGCGUGCUUUGGAAUCACAGCCAGCAGCUCUUCUAGCAUGGGGCUCACAUGGGACACAGGGACAGAUGCUUUCUAGGAUUGCCUCUUGGUUGUUCCAGGAUGGGUACAGUGGCACCAUGAAGUAGUUUAGGAAUCUGCUGUCCUGGAAUGGAGCAUGACUUCAUGGGAACUUAGUAAAAUACAAAGGAAUGUCAUUGCUCUGGCUUGGGGUAUUGGAGACUGCGCAUGACGGAUUCUCUUUCAGUGACAGAGUUCUCUGACUUUUCUUGGCCAAGGUGGUCAACCUUAAACAAAUCUUCUCAACAAAGAUGCUGACAGUCUCCCCCAAAAUCCAGCUAGGCUGAUGGGGUUUGCUGGCCCACUGGGGGAGUGUCUAAAAAUGAUUACUGCUCAUCCCUACCCUCAGUAGAACUCCAGACUUCAUUCUUCUGGACAUUAGCACUUCUGUAGAGCUCAAGCCAUCCUCUUGUUCAACCAAGUUCAAGACCCAACCUGAACCAGAUGUACUCAGACUGCAUCUUCUAUCCCUAAGUGCUGGCAUGUCCUCAGACUGCUCAGAUGUUCUACGAAAGCCCUGAAGCCCAGAUUAAGGUCUUUUAGACCUAGAAUCAUGAUCAAGAUGUUCUUCAUCUGAUUUUUUGAGCAGCCAGGACUCGGCGCCAAAAAGCAGCAUCUCGAAUUCUGGAAGAUGCCAACCUUGGAGCAUUGAUGGGUCAUCAAGGACCAUAUUACAGCUUGGGGCUGUCAGACACCAGUGCCAGUGACGGUCAUCAUUAUCACAAAGGUACUUUCCAAGUAGAGGCUCAUGACGGUGUUGGUAGGAUGACUCCUGUCCAAGCCAGCAUCCUCUAUCACUGAGAAAACAAGCACGCCAGGGUCUGACAGAUGCUGCAAUCCUCGAGCUGAGAAGAUGCAAUCCAAGAGCAAUCUGAACUUUGUAGGACCCUGGCCUCAGAUUGUUCUUAUUUGUUACAUGACAGCCCUUUUGUUGCUCUUCCUCCCUGGAAGAGAGAAAGAGAACUUCUGGAGAAGUUAGCAGAUGCCCUCGACCUGUGAUUGUAAAAUGCCUCGGUGCUUGGAGACACUUCCCAGCAGCUGGAGAAUUCGUGCGGAUCUCUGGGUGGCUGGUGGCCUGUCAUUGACUCUCUGGAGGACCCUUCCCAUUUGUGCACGGUGAUGGGAUGCUCGUCUUACUUUACCAAGGACCCUGGCUAACACAUAGGACAUGGCGUUGGCAUGAACCAGUCCCUCAGAGACCAACUCCUGUGCCAUCCAGGUCAAGGAGAGCCAGAGAUCUGAUGACACACUCUGCUGGUGGAGGAGUUCUCUCCCUUCACCCUGAGUGCACGCUUCCUGAACUGCCUCUUCUGGUCACCUCUGGCUCUCCUUCAUCUACGCGGGCAGGCUCUCGAUAAAUAAUUACUGAAGAGAGAGCGAAGGCUUGCCAACGUAGUGCUGUGUGAAUCUCGAGGCAGCCAAGACUGAAUUCAUGAUGAGCCCGGGCAAUGGGGUUUGGUUUGGUUUGGUUUUCAUCCCAGCCCAACAUCUAUAUCCUUCUGGAGAUGCUACAACAGGAAAGCAAUUUCCACAUCCAUCCUUCGGAUCUCUGUGGUCACGGAAGAGGCAGCUCAGCCGGGAACCUUUCCAGCUCAAGAGGAAAAACCAUUGACCGUGGAGCAGUGUCAGCUGCUCUGACCUUGGAGGUGGUCAGCCGUGCUUCUGAGUCCAACGGCCACCCACCACCACAUGCCCUUGCACAAGUCAUGCGUCUCCUAGGAAACACAGAUAUUAUUUUUGUCUUGAAGAUGUGAGUGCCAUCAGCUACAUUAUGUCUCUGCAAAAUUCAUGGGUUGAAGCGCCAUCCCCCGGGACCACACAAUGGGUAUUCUGUGUGGCUGUAUUUGGAGGUGAGGUCUUUAAAGAGGGGAUUUUUGGUAAAAUGGAAUCACAAGGGUGGUCCCUGAUCCCAUAGGAUUGGGAUCCUUAUGAGAAGAGGCGAUGAGGACACAGACAUGACCAGAGCGAUGACCACAUGAGGACACGGGGAGAAUACGGCAACUACAUGCCCAGGAGAGACCCGUGAGGAGGAUCCAGCCGUGGCCCCGCCUGGAUCUCAGACUCCCAACCUCCAGGACCGAGAUAAUAAUGUAUGUGUAUUGUUUGAGCCAACCUGUCUAUGGUGUUUUGUGACCACAGUAAGUCAUAAUUAUGCUAUGCGUAUGUGUGUCUGUAUCUCUAUUUCCUAUAUACAUGCCCAAAUAUAUAUAUUAUAGUCAA